rnacentral:rRNA from 1 species
GACGAACCGUCCAACCGUUAUUCGGAAUUACUGGGCUUAAAGGGUGCGUAGGCGGCGCGGAAAGUUGGGUGUGAAAUCCCUCGGCUCAACCGAGGAACUGCGCCCAAUACUACCGUGCUUGAGGGAGAUAGAGGUGAGCGGAACUUAGGGUGGAGCGGUGAAAUGCGUUGAUAUCCUAAGGAACACCGGUGGCGAAAGCGGCUCACUGGAUCUCUUCUGACGCUGAGGCACGAAAGCUAGGGUAGCGAACGGG